GCUGGGCAGGGUGGCGCAUGCCUGUAAUCCCAAUGGCUCUGGAGGCUGAGGCAGGAGGAUCGCGAGUUCAAAGCCAAACUCAGCAAAAAGUGAGGCACUAAGCAACUCAGUGAGACUCUGUCUCUA
rnacentral:sRNA from 1 species